rnacentral:rRNA from 1 species
CCUGACGGGAGGCAGCAGUGGGGAAUAUUGCACAAUGGGGGAAACCCUGAUGCAGCGACGCCGCGUGGAGGAAGAAGGUCUUCGGAUUGUAAACUCCUGUUGUUGAGGAAGAUAAUGACGGUACUCAACAAGGAAGUGACGGCUAACUACGUGC